CUAAACUUUCACUCGUAGCAGAAUGCUGACUAGGAGCAUAUUAUGAAGUCCUGGUUCCUUUAGAAGCAUUUGGGUGGGUCUCCUUACUGGCUAUUGUUAUUCUGGUAAUAGCUAGGUCCAGGUUGUUCCAUGCUGUGGGGGUUUGCGCAGGGGAUCAGUCCAGUAUCUUCUAUCGUCCAUUCAGUUCUUUGCAGCGGAUAUUUCCAUGCAUCUGGUAUUUUCGACGUGGGGUUCUCAUUGGGCGGGCUCUCGUUUCUCUGGCGGUUGAGUGUCUCAGGCAUCUCUCUGCAAAUGGUGUGUGCUGGGUUCCUUACUUGCUUUACCACUUUGCCGUCCUGUCAGUGGUAAAGUGGAUGCCAAAGUGGUAAAGCAAGUAAGGAGC
rnacentral:lncRNA from 1 species